GUGUUUGGCUAGCUAUAAAGUCAGGUUUGAUCCACCAUUUUCUAAAUGGGAAAAUGCUUGUACCAAGUAAGGAAUAUAUCAGUUGUUAUUCAUUAGUUUGAUGUGUAUGAGCUUUUGGUGUUGACAUUUAAUUAGGGACUUCCGGUUGAAAAUCCUCGGAAUACGGUGAUUUUGUAAUUUUCCUUUUUUUGUAUCGUGUUUUUUUUAAAAAACGGAAGUCGGAUGUUGAUGAUAAAUAAAUAAUGGUGUCAGUUCGAUUUAUUAUAUAGACUUAUGACUUGGUAUAUUGCAUUGCCACAAGUCGCGUUUGGUUCGUGUUGUCAUAGAGCUUUCUAGUUUCUUGUUUUGUGAGCAGGAUGUAUCAAAUACUUUACAUAUAGACGUAUCCUUUAAUACAUAUUAAACAAAGUGUAUUUCUGUGGUACAUGUGCCUGACAGGAUAGCAUUUGUAGUUUGUUUUUUUUUACAUCUUUGAAUUAUUCGGAAAAUUAAGGAUUUUUUUAUCCCAAGGAUAGAUUACCUUAGC
rnacentral:lncRNA from 1 species